UACGGGGGGGGCAAGCGUUGUUCGGAAUUACUGGGCGUAAAGGGCGCGUAGGCGGCCUGCUAAGUCGGACGUGAAAUCCCUCGGCUCAACCGGGGAACUGCGUCCGAUACUGGUGGGCUCGAAUCCGGGAGAGGGAUGUGGAAUUCCAGGUGUAGCGGUGAAAUGCGUAGAUAUCUGGAGGAACACCGGUGGCGAAGGCGGCAUCCUGGACCGAGAUUGACGCUGAGGCGCGAAAGCCAGGGGAGCAAACGGGG
rnacentral:rRNA from 1 species